rnacentral:rRNA from 1 species
CGGCGAGUGAACAGGGAUUAGCCCAGCACCGAAGACUGUGGCCAUUUGGUUACUAGUCAAUGUGGUGUUCAGGUUGUUCCGCAGAGUCACUGCUCCACCCUAAGUCCAUCAAUGAGUACGGUAUUAUGGACAUGGCCCGCAGAGGGUGAAAGGCCCGUGGGGGUGGAGGUCAGGCAGGCCAGUGAUUCUCUGGAUAGACCUUGGAGUCGGGUUGUUUGUGAAUGCAGCCCAAAGUGGGUGGUAAACUCCAUCCAAGGCUAAAUACAAGCACGAGUCCGAUAGCGAACAAGUACCGUGAGGGAAAGUUGAAAAGUACUUUGAAGAGAGAGUAAACAGUGCGUGAAACCGGUCAGAGGUAAGCGGGUGGAGUUGAACUGCAAGCUCUGGGAAUUCAGCUGGUGAGCUUGGUUUGAGCUUGGUCAAAUCGGUUGGGCCCUGGAGUCUGCGUAAUAGCAGGCCUUCCCACGGGGAGGUGCGCGAUACACUUGCCAAGUGUUGUGCGCUUCGGGUGUUCUCCGGGCCGGCUUGCCAGUGCACUUUCUCAGUGUGGUCACCACGACCGGCAUCGCUGUCUGGCUGUUGCGGUUAAACCGUUUUCGCAUUGUCCUUGUGGCUCUGCUUAAUCGGGAUGGCAGGUAGUUCGUUGGCUUGUUUGCGGCUUGCCGCAGGCGUAGUCUUCGAGUGUAAUCAGCUAACCGCAUGAGUUCUGUGCAGUAUGUCGGAGACGGCGGCUUUUGUGUGUGCGUGCGUGCCUGUUCGGCUGGCGUGUUCGGGUGUGGUCGUCAUGUGCUUGUUCUGCAGGCCUGAUGAUGGCUCGGAUUCGUUCGGUUGGCGGUUGCGUGCGUGUCACGUU